AAUAGAGGGUGCACAGGCAUGGGAGCUCAGGUGAGGCAGAGAGCUGAGCUCACGUGAGCUCCCAUGCCUGUGCACCCUCUAUU
rnacentral:pre_miRNA from 1 species